rnacentral:rRNA from 1 species
GACGAACGCUGGCGGCGCGCUUAACACAUGCAAGUCGAGCGAAGCGGCGGACGGGUGAGUAACACGUGAGUAACCUGCCUUAGACAUUGGGCUAGCCUCGGGAAACCGGGAUUAAUACCAACUGGGCUAAGAGGGACUCGCGUCCCAUUAGAUAGUGGGUGGGGUAACGGCCCACCAACGCGACGAUGGCUAGCCGGCUUGAGAGGUUGAGCGGCCACAUUGGAGCGGGGAAACGGUAGAAAAUCUACGGGAGGGAGGAGUGGGUAAUAUUGCACAAUGGAGUGAACGCUGAUGUAGCGAGGCCGGGUGAGCGAAGAAAGCUUUCGAGUCGGAAAGUUCUUUUAUAUGGGAAGCGGUACCAUAAGAAAAAGCCCCGGCUAACUACGUGCCAGCAGCCGCGGUAAUAC